UACAGAGGUGGCAAGCGUUGUUCGGAAUUACUGGGCGUAAAGGGCGCGUAGGCGGUUCGCCAAGUCCCGUGUGAAAGCCCCCGGCUCAACAGGGGAACGGCGCGGGAAACUAGCAGGCUUGAGUUCGGGAGAGGGAAGCGGAAUUUCGGGUGUAGCGGUGAAAUGCGCAGAUAUCCGAAGGAACACCGGUGGCGAAGGCGGCUUCCUGGACCGACACUGACGCUGAGGCGCGAAAGCUAGGGGAGCAAACGGG
rnacentral:rRNA from 1 species